UACCUAACGUAUAUGUAGACUUUGGAAUUCUGAAGUAAUGAUUAAAACUAAUAUCAAUAAUCUUUCCUUACUGAAGAAAUUCUUUGGCCAGUUUUUCAUAGAGACAAGCAAAGAGUCUGACUGGUGAUUCAGAGACUCCAAGUGUGUCAUGAAACAUGGGUGUGACAGGCACAAGAACGAGCCCCCUUGACAGCCGGCCAGCCUCGUUAGAAUUCCGGAACCGGAGAGUCUGCUUCUGUUCAUGGAACUUUUCCUAGGGUCUGACCGGAUGAAAUGGAAGGGGAAACAGAGCAUUCAGCAACAGAAGCUACUGUAACCCCUCAGCCUCAAAAACACUCAGCUCAGAAAAGAGCAGAUUCUUUUCUGAGCACUACAAGGAAGAAUUACAAGUCAAAAUACAACCAUUAACUGAGCAUUUCCAAGGUCAUAAACACAAUGGCUGGAGCUUCAACAAUCAUGUGACCACUUGAGGAUGGAAAUCAAUGUUGGGAAUGUUGGAAAAAAAAGGAGGUUUGGACAAACCAGCUCAACACUUUCUACUCCCUGAUUUACUUUAUUUGUGAAAAAAAUAAGCCUCUAUCCUGUUUAAACUGUUUUCACUUUAGGAUUCUGUUUGUAGGAGCCAGAGAUAAUUGCUAAUGAAGUGGCUUUCUGUGGGGUGAAAGGCACAGUACUCCCCACAAGGAAUAUAAUCAUUUUGUAUUGCAAACAGAUACCAAUACAAAAAUUUUAAAAG